CGGGGCCCUAGUUAUUAUUAUUAUUUUUCCUCCGCUUUAAACUGGAAAAUGGCCCACUUCCCACUGGCGAAAACUCAUGAAAAUUGGCAGGACGACCGGGCCUGGUGAAAAAUUCGAUAUUCUGAAGUCGCCCAAACAAGAAAAUGCAAAAUGGCUCAAUAGCGCCCCCAAAGGUGAAAAUUCACACUAUUGACUGUCACGCCUAUACGCUUUGUCAUAUUGACACAAAAAUUGACACACACAUGUAUCUCAAUAAGAUCUACGAAAAAGUCAAUGCGCGCGUAUCUGUCAAAUGUACGGUUAAAGGGUUAUUCCGCAUUUUUUGCCGUUCCGCACACAUUGGAAUUUCGCUAACUCCUCCGAAGGCUUUCGUUCCACCUGCACUACAUUUGCUCAGGCCAAUCUACACCCCAUGGCCAUUGAAAGUUGUACAAAUCAUGACGCUGCACCCCAUGGUUUACGUUCUAGGGGGCGCCAAAGAUGACCCAAAUAUCCACAUUUUUAAAAGUCUUAUAACUUUUUAUUUUUGUCCUCACUGGCCUCCAAGUUUUCUAGGAUGAUGCAAUGUGCAGCCAUCAACACAUCUGUGAAGGAAUUUUUUCUCC